rnacentral:rRNA from 1 species
UUCGUAGGGUGCGAGCGUUGUCCGGAAUUAUUGGGCGUAAAGAGCUCGUAGGCGGUGUGUCGCGUCGGCCGUGAAAACCUGUGGCUUAACUAUGGGCUUGCGGUCGAUACGGGCAUCACUGGAGUUCGGCAGGGGAGACUGGAAUUCCUGGUGUAGCGGUGAAAUGCGCAGAUAUCAGGAGGAACACCGGUGGCGAAGGCGGGUCUCUGGGCCGAUACUGACGCUGAGGAGCGAAAGCGUGGGGAGCGAACAGG